UGCCGCAGUGAUGACACUUAUUUGCUACUCUUGACCAAGAGAGUGAUGAUAACUUUUACCACCAUUACAGUUUUCUGAGGCA
ensembl:snoRNA SNORD24 Small nucleolar RNA SNORD24